rnacentral:rRNA from 1 species
CUCUUGACCUCAAAUCAGGUAGGAUUACCCCCUGAACUUAAGCA